UGUUUUUCUCUCGAGCCGGGCUGUCAGGAUCACUGAAGUCAGAGGAGCCGGGUGGAGCAGAGCAGCAUGGAAAACCAGAGCGCUCAAAAUGUGGCUCCAGGACCACCACAGACUGCUGACACUCAGAGGGAAGCAGGAAGUGGCACAAACACCGCCCAGGAUGGAAGCAUCAUCAUCACUCCUCAGAUUAUUGGAGCUAAUGUUAGAGAUGUUCAUCUCACUGCUACUGUCCUCCAACACGGU